CGGAGCGUAGCGCAGGGGUAGCGCACUAUUCUGGGGGGAUAGGGGUCGGAGGUUCAAAUCCUCUCGCUCCGACCA
rnacentral:tRNA from 1 species